UCUACCAAUCAACACCUUCUCUUCAACAAAAAUUGAUUUGAUGCCACGUGGCACCACUCAAGACCUCUAUAACCUUAUCCACCACAAAAAAUCUCAUCUUCACAUUAACCACUUCCAGAUCCCAAAUCCAAAACCAACCAUUUUCCUUCACAUCACAAAUGAACCCUUACUUUCUUCCAAUUACAAGCAAUCGGAAUCCUUCAAAUCUGAUAGCUUAGAACAGAUAAGAAAGAAACAAAGAAUUAAGGGAGAGGAGUGUGAGAGUGACUCAAUGGCCUCAACCUCAUCUUUCCUCCACCAUCAUGCAGUACUCUCCACCCCCACUAGAUCCUCUCCACACCGCCCUGUGCCAAUCUUCAAGCCCAUCCAGCUAGUCUGCAAAGCCCAAAAGCAGGCAAUCCAUGACGAUGACGACAACGCCACCAUCUCCCGCUGAUUGGCUCUCACAAUUCUCAUCGGUGCUGCGGCUGUUGCCGCCAAAGUUUCGCCGGCCGAUGCUGCUUAUGGGGAAGCUGCCAAUGUGUUUGAUCUCU